UACGGAGGGUGCAAGCGUUAUCCGGAUUUACUGGGUUUAAAGGGUGUGUAGGCGGACUAUUAAGUCAGUGGUGAAAUCCCGAGGCUCAACCUCGGAACUGCCUUUGAUACUAUUAGUCUUGAAUGUUGUUGAGGUGGGCGGAACGGGUCAUGUAGCGGUGAAAUGCAUAGAUAUGACGCAGAACACCAAUUGCGAAGGCAGCUUGCUACACUGUUAUUGACACUGAGGCACGAAAGCGUGGGGAUCAAACAGG
rnacentral:rRNA from 1 species